AUCUAGGAGCGGACAUUUUAUUGUAGGAUGUCACUGAGAUUUACGGACCUAGCAAGCGAUUUUUAGGGCAUUGCCAUUUUUUUUUCUCUAGGAAAAGUCUUGAGAGAUAUCCGCACCAAGUUUUUUUAUGAACCUUUAGUACAUGUAUGCACUGCUGACUGCAAAUUUUGAGGUCGAUUGUACUUGUAGUUUCAGAGUACAUGUGGAUUUUUUUUUUCAGAAGUGACGCAAGAA
rnacentral:lncRNA from 1 species